CUGGCGGCAGGCGCUAACACAUGCAAGUCGAGCGGUAGAGAGAAGCUUGCUUCUCUUGAGAGCGGCGGACGGGUGAGUAAUGCCUAGGAAUCUGCCUGGUAGUGGGGGAUAACGUCCGGAAACGGACGCUAAUACCGCAUACGUCCUACGGGAGAAAGCAGGGGACCUUCGGGCCUUGCGCUAUCAGAUGAGCCUAGGUCGGAUUAGCUAGUUGGUGGGGUAAUGGCUCACCAAGGCGACGAUCCGUAACUGGUCUGAGAGGAUGAUCAGUCACACUGGAACUGAGACACGGUCCAGACUCCUACGGGAGGCAGCAGUGGGGAAUAUUGGACAAUGGGCGAAAGCCUGAUCCAGCCAUGCCGCGUGUGUGAAGAAGGUCUUCGGAUUGUAAAGCACUUUAAGUUGGGAGGAAGGGCAGU
rnacentral:rRNA from 1 species